UGAAAAAGAACCUGAAACCGUGUACGUACAAGCAGUGGGAGCACCCUUGGGUGUGACUGCGUACCUUUUGUAUAAUGGGUCAGCGACUUAUAUUCUGUAGCAAGGUUAACCGAAUAGGGGAGCCGGAGGGAAACCGAGUCUUAAUUGGGCGUUAAGUUGCAGGGUAUAGACCCGAAACCCGGUGAUCUAGCCAUGGGCAGGUUGAAGGUUGGGUAACACUAACUGGAGGACCGAACCGACUAAUGUUGAAAAA
rnacentral:rRNA from 1 species